rnacentral:rRNA from 1 species
GGUCGCCUGUUUAUCAAAAACAUUGUUUAUAGAAAAAAAAAUUAUAAAUAAAUCCUGCCCAGUGAAUUCUUAAACGGCCGCGAUCACACGUGCAAAGGUAGCAUAAUCAAUUGUCCUUUAAUUGUGGACUAGAAUGAAUGGAUAAAUAAAACUUAAACUAUUCAAUUUUUACAAAUAUAAAUUUACCUUUAGAUGAAAAGGUCUAAAUAUAAAUAAAAGACCAGAAGACCCUAUAGAGCUUUUUCUUAAAAUAAUAAUUUUAUUACAUAUAAGAUUUGGUUGGGGCAACCUAGGAUAAAUCUUCCUAUCUAAGUAAUGAAAUAUAAAUAAUUUCUUAAAUAAUAAAAUAUAAGCUACCUUAGGGAUAACAGGCUAAUCUUAUUUUAUAGUUCACAUACACAAUAUGGUUUAGCACCUCGAUGUUGGCUUGAGGUAUCUUUUAAAUGGAGAAGUUUAAAAUAGUAGGCUUGUUCAGCCUUUAAAACCUCACGUGAUCUGAGUUCAGACCGG